UUCUUACUAGCUCAAUGGCAGAGCAGAAUACUUCUAAAUUUUGAUCCAAGUUCGACCCUUGGGUAAGAAU